UCCCCUUUAGGGGAACUAAAGGGGAUGGAAACAACGUAAAACCGGCGUUACAGCCUCGCUGCGAUGAUGUUAAGCUAAUGNCCGUUAAGAGGUACAACGAACGGUGCUCGGCACCGAGCAUGUCCAACAAAAUAAACGAACGGCCAUGAGGUCUAGAUCAACCUCCACUUGCUUACCAGUGGUUGCCCUUCCUAGCGUGUUUUACUGACUAGUGGCCCUAAAUCAUGUAGGCCGAAGGCCGUUAUUUCUGGUAUACCGGUGCUCUGCACCUACGUAGGCCAUAGGCCUACGUUGGAUGUUUUUAAGUUGCUUACGAACUACCUGACAGCGCUUUCCUUGUCUUCCCCUAAAGGGGAACCCCUUCUUCCCCGUUAGUGUUCUUCCCCUAAAGGGGAACCCCUUUAGUUCUUCCCCUAAAGGGGAACCCCUUUAGUUCCCCUAAAGGGGAUGAACCAAAGGGGUGUUCCCCUUCUUCCCCUAAAGGGGAGGGAGUCCCCUUUAGUUCCCCUAAAGGGGAUGAAGAAGGGGUUCCCCUAAAGGGGAAGAACUCCCCUACGGUUCCCCUUUAGGGGAUGAAGAAGGGGUUCGUCCCCUAAAGGGGAACCAAAGGGGAAGACGAAGGGGAAGAGUUCAUCCCCUUUGGUUUCCGUCCCCUUUGGGGACGAUAACCGAAGGGGAUAACCAAAGGGUUACCCCGAAGGGGGACGUAGUUUAACGUAGUUAAGGACAAAGCCCCGUGCUACUCGUUAUUUUUUGACGAAAUAAUGUUUUAUUUUUGUUAAUAUUAAUAAAAUGUAAAAUAAAAAGUAAUUUUGUUUAUAGUUUUUAUAA
rnacentral:lncRNA from 1 species